AUUGAACGCUGGCGGCAGGCCUAACACAUGAAAGUCGAACGAGUGGCGGACGGGUGAGUAAUGUCUGGGAAACUGCCUGCUGGAGGGGGAUAACUCCUGUAAACGGUAGCUAAUACCGCAUACCAUCGGAUGUGCCCAGAUGGGAUUAACUAGUAGGUGGGGUAAAGGCUCACCUAGGCGACGAUCCCUAGCUGGUCUGAGAGGAUGACCCGCCACACUGGAACUGAGACACGGUCCAGACUCCUACGGGAGGCAGCGGGGGGGAAUAGUGCACAAUGGGCGCAAGCCUGAUGCAGCCAUGCCGCGUGUAUGAAGAAUGCCUGCGGGUUGUAAAGUACUUUCAGCGGGGAGGCGUUACACGCAGAAGAAGCACCGGCUAACUCCGUGCCAGCAGCCGCGGUAAUUC
rnacentral:rRNA from 1 species